rnacentral:rRNA from 1 species
UACGUAGGGUGCAAGUGUUGUCCGGAAUUAUUGGGCGUAAAGAGCUUGUAGGCGGUUUGUCGCGUCUGCUGUGAAAUUUCGGGGCUCAACCCCGAACUUGCAGUGGGUACGGGCAGACUAGAGUGUGGUAGGGGAGACUGGAAUUCCUGGUGUAGCGGUGAAAUGCGCAGAUAUCAGGAGGAACACCGGUGGCGAAGGCGGGUCUCUGGGCCGAUACUGACGCUGAGGAGCGAAAGCGGUGGGGAGCGAACAGG